rnacentral:misc_RNA from 1 species
AAAUUCUCAUGCUCUCUUUUUUCUUUGUUUGAAAGAGAAGGAGAGAAUGGACCAUGGAAGUUGCUUGUUCCUUAGCUCUUCUUAAAUGCAUUAGCAGAAGUUUUAUGACUAACUGUUUCUUUUGAUAUGAUAAAACAUUGUCUAUAUCUUUGAAAACAUUGGUCCCCAAUCUGCUUUCAAACCGUCUCUCAGACAGAGACAAGAGACACUCAGUCGAACAAA